GUGGGGAAUAUUGGACAAUGGGGGGAACCCUGAUCCAGCCAUGCCGCGUGUGUGAAGAAGGCCUUUUGGUUGUAAAGCACUUUAAGCGAGGAGGAGGCUACCGAGAUUAAUACUCUUGGAUAGUGGACGUUACUCGCAGAAUAAGCACCGGCUAACUCUGUGCCAGCAGCCGCGGUAAUACAGAGGGUGCAAGCGUUAAUCGGAUUUACUGGGCGUAAAGCGCGCGUAGGUGGCCAAUUAAGUCAAAUGUGAAAUCCCCGAGCUUAACUUGGGAAUUGCAUUCGAUACUGGUUGGCUAGAGGAUGGGAGAGGAUGGUAGAAUUCCAGGUGUAGCGGUGAAAUGCGUAGAGAUCUGGAGGAAUACCGAUGGCGAAGGCAGCCAUCUGGCCUAAUACUGACGCUGAGGUACGAAAGCAUGGGGAGCAAACAGGAUUAGAUACCCGUGUAGUCC
rnacentral:rRNA from 1 species